CUCCUCUCUCUCCCCGCGCAGCGAACCCUAGCGCUCUCACCCUCUCAGCCCUGCACACCACUCCUUCUGGAUCCACCGCCGCCACCCUCUGGAUCUCGACGCGCCGCCACUCCCUCCCUCCAGAUCGAGAGAGAGCUCGACGGCCGCACCGACUCCUCCUGGUGAUGGCGUGGAUCCGGUGCUUGCCUCUUCUCCGAAUCCACUAAAUCUUACGCGGCGGCCACCACGGCGACCGCAGCGCCAGCUCCUGCCGCGGGGACCUCGCUAUUCCAGGUCGCGGCCUCGCGGGGCCGCUGCACCCGCGCCUCCGGGCCAGGCACCGGCGCGACCCUCUCCUUCACCCCCGCCGCCGCCGCCGCAACUCCGACGCCUCCUUCCACCACCUCCUCUUUGUCGCAAGGGAGGGCCGCCGCCGCCGGCCAGCGGAAGGAGGAGCACAGGCUGGACUGGUGCCACUUGUAGGAGGAGACCAACCACCACGUAUUCCUCCAUAAGCUGCAGCCCAUCCUCGCCAGCCACCUGCACAACCACACCCAGACCACCGCCGGCAGCAGCAGCGGCCACGCAUGCGUGGUGUCCUGCGGCGCGGCCGCCUCCAAGGACCACCUCUUCAAGGGGUCGCAGGAGCAGUCGGGCCUGGUCACCAUCGCCAUGGAGGUGGUGCACUGUGAGGAAAUCAAGGGCAUGUGGAAGAGAGAGGAGUUCCAUGGAGAAGAUGCUCUGCUCCACCUCCAACCCACCCUGCCUACUACUACAGGAAUAGGAUGCCAUGGAAGGUCUGGCAGCACCGCCGCGUCGACGGCGAAGGUGGUGACUGUGGCGGCGCGAGUUGGUGGCUGCGGGACUCAACAACACGGCUCAUAUAUGUGCUUCCGACUAAUCCAGCUUCUUUUGGUCUAGCUGGGCAUUACUUUGAGUUCAUAUAUGUGCUUGUCACUCCAUAGGUUAUAGUGAUUCCCUCUGUUUCCUUAUAUGUUCUUGUAGUUUGGUUGCUUUCCUGUUCAUGCAUGUUUGUACAGCUAUAUAUAGUUUUGCUGUGAAUCAAAGACGACAUGCUUUCCUGUUCACUCCAUAGGUCAUGUGCUUGUCACUCCAUAGGUUAUAGUUUUGCUGUGAACCUAGGUGUGCUAUGUGGGGAAGCAAAGCAGUAGCUCACAACUCCGGCCUGCAACUCCAGAUGAAUGCACUUCGAUGACGCAUCAUGCUACUCCCUUGGAUGGUUGGCUCCUGGACCGGCUUCCUAGUCCGUGGCCUGCCUUCUGGAUGGAGCAAGGAGGGGGCAUCAUCCACACCGCAGAGCUGGUUGAGCCUUAGUGCGAACUGGAUAAGCAGGGCAUCGUCGGGGACAUCUCUCGCUUGUGCCAUGAUUUUGGCCUCAAUUCGUCAAAAGUUCCUGUACAAGGAACUACAGGAGAAGACUCCUAAAGAAAACUUGCACCCAACAAUGUGUUUUAGCUCCCUGGACCUGGACAUGUUAAUAUUUAGCUGUAUUUUAUAUUUCAAUAACUGAUUUGUACAGCCGUGAUUGUAAAGUACCUGCCAUGAUUUGGCUAUCGUUUCAAAAUUUAUGUGUUAUUGGCUUUGUUUGAAUCAA